CUUAUCAUGAUGUGCAGCUCUGU
rnacentral:piRNA from 1 species